rnacentral:tRNA from 1 species
AGGGGUGUAGCUCAGUUGGUAGAGCAGCGGUCUCCAAAACCGCGGGUCGGGCGUUCGAGUCGCUCCACCCCUGCCA